UUGUUUACAUCAGUACUGUUCAGUAAUCAGCUGGUUCAGUUGCUAGAGUCAGCUAGACUAUGAUUAAGGCUAAACAUGGGUCACACUAUUUAGAAACUUUAGCGCUGGUUAAAGCUCAUAGUUAUUAACUUAAUUUCUACCUGGCAUCUGAUGGAAACGUAUUGAUGUU